rnacentral:lncRNA from 1 species
CAAAGUCAGGCCCUUAGUGUGUGGUUUGUAAAUUAUUUUAACCUAAUAGUAUCAUUUUAGACUAUUUCAUCUCUUUCAUUUAACUCUUUUUAAAACAGCUUACUAUCAGAUUUGGUGCCUGGAAACAGCUGUACAAAGACACAGAGAUCCUGUUUUGAAAGGGUAUCUCUUGAAAGCACAUCCUAGUAGCUCUUGUUCUUGUAAGAUAACAUCCACGACCUGGUUUGUUUACAGCUAUUCUAACAAACGUGUUGCAGUCUCGCCUUCUUCCCAAUCCCGCUAGUCUAUCGCACGGGGGGUAGCCUGUGAGGGCUUUUUUCUGGGGCCAGCAGGUGCCGCUACCGAGCUGUGUGCGCCUCUGGGUUUGGGGAUGGUUAAUCACCGACCCAGGUUAAGUGAAACAACCAGCUGAAGAAUUGCAUGGCGGUGGCUGUUGAUUUUUCCCAAACGAGCGGCACUUUCAGUUCCAGUCUGGACCUGGAGAGCGGGGGAUGCAUUAAAUCCCGGGGAGAGGGGGGUGAUUCCGAUCCAUGCUGCUUCCUUCAGAAGAUGAGAGCCCCCUCCCCGAUCUGCAGGCAGCGGGGGCAGGAGCAGCAGCGGGGAGCCGAAUCUCUGUAGAUGUGAGGAGGCACAAAAGGGACAGUUUAUUCUUUCGAAGUUGCUGGAACUGCUUGCAGUAAGAAAUAAAAGCUGUGCGUCAAUCA